UACGUAGGAUCCAAGCGUUGUCCGGAUUUACUGGGUGUAAAGGGUGCGCAGGCGGACUUGUUAGUCAGAGGUGAAAUCUCACGGCUCAACCGUGAAACUGCCUUUGAUACUGCAGGUCUUGAAUUGGGGAGAGAGUUGUGGAAUUCCGAGUGUAGCAGUGAAAUGUGUAGAUAUUCGGAAGAACACCAGUGGCGAAGGCAGCAACUUGGCCCCAGAUUGACGCUCAGGCACGAAAGCAUGGGGAUCAAACAGG
rnacentral:rRNA from 1 species